AAGACUCCUCUUUUGUUUCUUGAGGUAGGUCCCACGUUCAGUUCUAAUGUGACCAUACCCAUCACAUUCAUAGCACUGGACUCCUUUUCCUUCUUUGGGCUUUUCUUCUGACCUCGUUCUUCUUCCAAUAUUGUUGGAUUUACUGAUGUCAGAUGCGAUGUUCUUGACAUUGGCCUUAGAUCUUACAUCCAUCUUUUUCAUAAGUUUGUUGAAUAGUCUUCC
rnacentral:lncRNA from 1 species